AGGGAAUCUUCCGCAAUGGACGAAAGUCUGACGGAGCAAUGCCGCGUGAAUGAAGAAGGUCUUCGGAUCGUAAAAUUCUGUUGUUAGAGAAGAACAAGGAGUAAGUAACUACUACUCCCUUGACGGUAUCUAACCAGAAAGCCACGGCUAACUACGUGCCAGCAGCCGCGGUAAUACGUAGGUGGCAAGCGUUGUCCGGAUUUAUUGGGCGUAAAGGGAGCGCAGGCGGUGACUUAAGUCUGAUGUGAAAGCCCACGGCUCAACCGUGGAAGGUCAUUGGAAACUGGGUCACUUGAAUAUAGAAGAGGAAAGUGGAAUUCCAUGUGUAGCGGUGAAAUGCGUAGAUAUAUGGAGGAACACCAGUGGCGAAGGCGACUUUCUGGUCUAUUAUUGACGCUGAGGCUCGAAAGCAUGGGUAGCAAAC
rnacentral:rRNA from 1 species